rnacentral:rRNA from 1 species
GAUGAACGCUGGCGGCGUGCCUAAUACAUGCAAGUCGAGCGAAUGGAUUAAGAGCUUGCUCUUAUGAAGUUAGCGGCGGACGGGUGAGUAACACGUGGGUAACCUGCCCAUAAGACUGGGAUAACUCCGGGAAACUGGGGCUAAUACCGGAUAACAUUUUGAACCGCAUGGUUCGAAAUUGAAAGGCGGCUUCGGCUGUCACUUAUGGAUGGACCCGCGUCGCAUUAGCUAGUUGGUGAGGUAACGGCUCACCAAGGCAACGAUGCGUAGCCGACCUGGGAGGGUGAUCGGCCACACUGGGACUGAGACACGGCCCAGACUCCUACGGGAGGCAGCAGUAGGGAAUCUUCCGCAAUGGACGAAAGUCUGACGGAGCAACGCCGCGUGAGUGAUGAAGGCUUUCGGGUCGUAAAACUCUGUUGUUAGGGAAGAACAGGUGCUAGUUGAAUAAGCUGGCACCUUGACGGUAUCUAACCAGAAAGCCACGGCUAACUACGUGCCAGCCGCCGCGGUAA